CAACACAUCCACACAAGCUCCCAACUUGAGAGUGUCGAUGGGACACGUGUUCUUUGGUGGUGAUGGGGUUGGCACUGGUGUUGGUGGUGGUGGAGGAGGACAUGGUGUCUCAGUGGGUGGAGGAGGCUUAACUGGUACAACUGGGGUAGGUGUAGGUGUUGGUGGGCUUGGUGGUACAACAGGUGGUGAUGGUGGUGGCUUAACUGGUACAACUGGGGUAGGUGUUGGUGUUGGUGGGCUUGGUGGUACAACAGGUGGUGAUGGUGGUGGCUUAACUGGUACAACUGGGGGCUUGGGUACAUAGGGUGGUGGGGGUUGUACAACUGGGGGCUUGGGUACAUAUGGUGGUGGUGGUUGUACAACUGGGGGUUUGGGGAUGAAGGGUGGGUGCACAAUUGGGGGUUUAGGGAUAAAAGGUGGGUGCACGAUUGGGGGCUUGGGGAUGAAGGGUGGGUGCACAAUUGGGGGCUUGGGGAUGAAGGGUGGGUGCACAAUUGGGGGUUUAGGGAUGAAGGGUGGGUGCACAAUUGGGGGUUUAGGGAUGAAGGGUGGGUGCACAAUUGGGGGUUUAGGGAUGAAGGGUGGGUGCACAAUUGGGGGCUUGGGGAUGAAGGGUGGGUGCACAAUUGGGGGCUUGGGGUGGGGUGGUGGUUUGACAAUAGGAGGCUUGGGGAUGAAGGGAGGUCUCACAAUAGGUGGUUUGGGGACAGAAGGAGGUUUUGGUAUAUGGGGAGGAUAUACAAUGGGGGGUUUGGGGCCAUGAGGUGGCUUGGGUACAUGGGGUGGAUGAGGAUGAGGUGGCUUUGAUGGUGGCUUGGGAACAUAGGGAGGCUUUACAUGAGGGGGAUGGGGUGGUUUUGAUGGUGGUUUGGGAACAUAGGGAGGCUUUACAUGAGGAGGAAGAGGUGGUUUUGAUGGUGGUUUGGGAACAGAGGGAGGCUUUACAUGAGGGGGAUGAGGUGGGUGUUUAGGUGGUUUAGGGAUGAAGGGUGGCUUUACAUGAGGAGGCUGUUUGGGUGGCAAGUGUGGAGGGUAUGUUGGUGGUGGACAGUAGGAGUUAGCAAGAGAAGUGAGCAAACUACCCAAAUUCACAAUGAGGACUAAGAGCAAAGCCAGGGUAUAAUUCCCCAUGUUCAAAACUCCACAACCCUCAAAAGAGUUGGGUUGUUUAAGACCGGAUAUUGAAACCCAACACCAUGCAAAAGCCUUCUUAUAGAGAUAUGGUGAGACAAG
rnacentral:lncRNA from 1 species